rnacentral:rRNA from 1 species
UACGUAGGUGGCAAGCGUUGUCCGGAAUUAUUGGGCGUAAAGCGCGCGCAGGCGGUCCUUUAAGUCUGAUGUGAAAGCCCACGGCUCAACCGUGGAGGGUCAUUGGAAACUGGGGGACUUGAGUACAGAAGAGGAAAGCGGAAUUCCACGUGUAGCGGUGAAAUGCGUAGAGAUGUGGAGGAACACCAGUGGCGAAGGCGGGUCUCUGGGCAAUAACUGACGCUGAGGAGCGAAAGCGUGGGGAGCGAACAGG